rnacentral:rRNA from 1 species
GCAUAUCAAAAAGCGGAGGAAAAGAAACUAACAAGGAUUCCCCUAGUAACGGCGAGUGAAGCGGGAAGAGCUCAAAUUUGAAAUCUGGUAGCCUUCGGUUGCCCGAGUUGUAAUCUAGAGAAGUGUUUUCCGUGCCGGCCCAUGUACAAGUCCCUUGGAACAGGGCGUCAUAGAGGGUGAGAAUCCCGUCCUUGACAUGGACCCCCGGUGCUUUGUGAUACACUUUCAACGAGUCGAGUUGUUUGGGAAUGCAGCUCAAAAUGGGUGGUGAAUUCCAUCUAAAGCUAAAUAUUGGCGAGAGACCGAUAGCGAACAAGUACCGUGAGGGAAAGAUGAAAAGCACUUUGGAAAGAGAGUUAAACAGUACGUGAAAUUGUUGAAAGGGAAACGAUUGAAGUCAGUCAUGCUCUUAGGAUUCAGCCGUUCUGCGGUGUAUUUCCUUUGAGUGGGGUCAACAUCAGUUUUGAUCGAUGGAUAAAGGCACGAGGAAGGUAGCACUCUCGGGUGAACUUAUAGCCUCGCGUCAUAUACAUUGAUUGGGACUGAGGAACGCAGCAUGCCUUUAUGGCCGGGAUUCGUCCACGUACAUGCUUAGGAUGUUGACAUAAUGGCUUUAAACGACCCGUCUUGAACCACGGACCA